rnacentral:lncRNA from 1 species
UCAACACAUAAAACAAACCCAGAAAUGCCUUGUGCAGAAAGAUGAUAUUUACCUUUAUUACACGUCUUCGGUGAAAUCAAUGUAGCUCGUGUGACACGAACGCUUCCACUUGUUGUGUUUUCACUCUUUCGAGAGGUUUCGCCGAGGGAGCGGAGCGGAGAUGCGCGUUCACUGCGAGCGCGAGCCCUGACAGAUGCCCACAUUUGGAGCACAGAUCUCGGCACCCCAACUAUUUCAGGUUACAAGAAACAGCUGUUGGGAGUCUGACCCCCUGCCCUCCUGCUCUCUGAACGGCACAAUACGCAUGCUGGGUGUGGGGGGGUGGAUGUAAAGAAGUCGAGAACGUUGAGUUAAACAACAUUUUUUUUUGUUUUUUUUUUACUUGCUGAAACAACCGCGCGAGGCACAAGGAAGGAGCUCCACACACACUUCUUCGCGUGCUUCCCAACGCGCUCCCGCACUUUUGCGUCUCGCGCCACCGGUAGCUGCGCGAGAAUGUGGACGACGUAGUUACCGCUGCACGUCCUUCCGCAAAACCAAGCGGUUAGCGCGACGGCCGCCCGGCGAAGCGAGCUUCGCGAACGCGGACAAGUCGCUUUGGCACAAAAUGAGCUACGACGCACGUCAGGCGCGUUGAGCGCGCGAGCGGCUCCCCGGAGCACGAGAAAACAGCCUUUUUGAGUUCGGCUGCUGAGCCUGCAAACUCUUCAAAAACUGUCAGAGUUCCCUGAGGAAAACGUUACCCCCUUGAAAGCUUCGUUUCCCUCAAAAAGACUGCCGAGUGUGUGAACUCGAGAGAAGCUGCUCCCCUCUUACCCGGGCCCAAGGUAAACCCGCACGGGCACAGUGGAAUCCCUGAAGUCCCAUUAGAUACCGGCCCACCGUGGCCAAAGCAUCCUGGCUUGAAGUGGGGUUGGAAAGAUGGUCCUUUGCACAUGUUUUCCUCUCAUUGGCUUGGGGUCCGAGGCUGCCAUCAAUACAGCCCUUUGGAGGAGGUAUAUAUAGACACCUUCUUUAGAGACUGGCUUACAUUAGUCCAAACCAGACCGGAGUGA